rnacentral:rRNA from 1 species
UUUUUUUUGAUGGGGUUGUAUUAUUAGAUAAGGAACCAAUAUAAUUGGUGACUCAUAAUAACUUUACGGAUCACCUUAAAUGUGACAUAUCAUUCAAGUUUCUGACCUAUCAGCUUUAGACGGUAGGGUAUUGGCCUACCGCGGCAAUGACGGGUAACGGGGAAUUAGGGUUCGAUUCCGGAGAGGGAGCCUGAGAAACGGCUACCACAUCUAAGGAAGGCAGCAGGCGCGCAAAUUACCCAAUCCUAAUACAGGGAGGUAGUGACAAGAAAUAACAAUACAGGACUUUUUGGUUUUGUAAUUGGAAUGAGUUAAGUAUAAACCCCUUUACAAGUAUCAAUUGGAGGGCAAGUCUGGUGCCAGCAGCCGCGGUAAUUCCAGCUCCAAUAGCGUAUAUUAAAGUUGUUGCAGUUAAAAAGCUCGUAGUUGGAUUUCUGUUAAUAAUUUAUAUAAAAUAUUUUGAUGAAUAUUUAUAUAAUAUUAACAUAAUUCAUAUUACUAUAUAUUUUAGUAGAUGAAAUUUUACUUUGAGAAAAUUAGAGUGCUUAAAGCAGGCAUAUGCCUUGAAUACUCCAGCAUGGAAUAAUAUUAAAGAUUUUUAUCUUUCUUAUUGGUUCUAAGAUAAGAAUAAUGAUUAAGAGGGACAGUUGGGGGCAUUUGUAUUUAACAGUCAGAGGUGAAAUUCUUAGAUUUGUUAAAGACAAACUAAUGCGAAAGCAUUUGCCAAGGAUGUUUUCAUUAAUCAAGAACGAAAGUUAGGGGAUCGAAGACGAUCAGAUACCGUCGUAGUCUUAACCAUAAACUAUGCCUACUAGAGAUUGGAGUUGUUCCCUACUCCUUAUCUAAUUCUUACAACUCCUUCCCUACCA